UGCCUGGUGUUCCUCAGGGCAAGAGGCUGUGACGUGCCUUUACAGAGAAAGUAUUUGUGUUCGACAAGCUUCUUUCAGACACGAGGGAUGGAAAAGGAGGAAUUUGACAUCGAUUCAGUGCUCAGAUUUUGCAGGAUUAUUCAAAAUAGCCAGAAGCUGGAAGCAAACCAGGUGUCCAUCAACAGAUGAAGUGACAAAAAAA